rnacentral:rRNA from 1 species
AAGGGCACCACAAGAACGCGUGGAGCAUGUGGCUUAAUUUGACUCAACGCGGGAAAUCUUACCGGGUCCGGACACACUGAGGAUUGACAGGCAAUAUUACUACAUCAGUUUUUUGAACUAUGUAUUAUGUUAAAUAUGCUAGUCCUUUCAUGAUUAUGUGAUAGGUGGUGCAUGGCCGUUCUUAGUUCGUGGAGUGAUCUGUCUGCUUAAUUGCGUUUCACUAAGGGCCUAUAAAUUUACGUGUGUUGCGGCACUUUGACCCCUCUUUUGAGCGCGCGUCUUAGUUUGCUUUGCUCGCACAAUUAGGUCCUGAAAGCAACGAACGUGACCGCAACCUCUUGUUGCCUUUAUAUCAAACAUGUUUACCAUUUUUUGAUGGUAUUCAUGAAAAAAGGCUUUUUAAACUAGAGGGACCGCUGUUACUUUCUUAAACCAGAGGAAGGUUGCGGCAAUAACAGGUCUGUGAUGCCCUUAGAUGUUCCGGGCUGCACACGUGCUACAAUGAUUAUUGCAGUGAGCAUCUCAUUUUUACACACCGCAUGCGCGAGUCCAUUUAUUCACCUUUUCUGAGGCGCUUUAAAUGUGUACCUCUUGCGCGCGGUAAAGCCUGCUUCGAAAGUUAGUGGGUAAUCAAUUAGAAGUAAUGAUUUCCUUUUUAGCACACAUAUAUACGGCGUUUAUACCCGGGCUGCCUUGUUGUAGCUUUUGUGCGUAUAGAUGUUUUUUCCGUAUGUGCGAUUGUCAAUUCAUGGUGGGGACAGACCAUUGUUAAUUGUUGGUCUCGGUCUUAACUAGGAAUGCCUUGUACGGGUCUUUGGUUCAACAAACCACCCGGAAUACGUCCCUGCCCUUUGUACACACCGCCCGUCGCUCUUACCGAUGGACUUCUCUGUGAGUUUGAGGGACUGGGAACGCAGGAUUUAUUUUCUGCACACCUAUGGAAACUUAAACGAACAGUGUGGUCUAAAGGAAAGAGAAGUCGUAACAAGGCAUCG